GAUACAGAUAUGCAUGCUCGAGCGCAUGAUAAACAACGUGUUGGACGAGUUAUUGUUUUAAAGAAGUUUUGUUUAACUUUCAAGCUUGUUGUCUGCAUACCGGAAAUCUUGGAGCCUGUGUCUCUGUCUCUGAGACUGAGAGUAAAACUGUUGUAGCGUGAGGACUAAAGUCGUUAAUUAUAUUAGGCCUAAUUAGGGUCUUUUGACAUCUUGAUCUUGCUUACUGCUACGCCGUAGCCGUCGUCACGGCCUUCGCUGUAUUCGUACGUGUGUUAACUGUUAAUUGACAGUUUACAUGUACAUCAGUUCAGUUGAAAUUGAAGACUUCUUCAAAGCCAAGUUUCAGUUUUUGUCAACUCAAGGAGCAUUUGCAGCCUCAUUUGUGUGUAAUUUCAGAGUCUCAUCUUGAGGCAAUUCAGCGAAGGCUUGCGCUGAAGGUGUUUAUAUUGUUAUUUCUGUGUACAGUUAUUUCAGAGGGCAGAAGGCCAUUUCUUGGAGGUAGUUAAAUUGUUAUUACAGCUCCAUAUCACUCAUCUCAUACCAUUUCACCUUCACCCUCAGAUCCUUUAGACGUAAAGGUGCGAGAAGUAAGAAACUCAUUUAGAACCUCAUCCUAAACUUCAUAUUCAAAACAUUUCAUUCAUACCAUAUACCAUACCAUUUCAUUUUCACCCUCUCACCUUUAGACGUAAAGGUGAGAGACAAAAGGAACUCAUUUAGAACCUCAGAAACCUCAUUUUAAACUUUCAUCGAAAUUUCAUCUGGAAGUCUGUCUACCAAUUCACGACAAUAACCCUUGCAUUUAGAGGCUUGGGUGAGUCACAAGGAAUUGGGGAUUGCAACGAACAAACAGAACUUUUUAAACACAUAAUUCUUUUAAACACAUAAUUCUUUUUAAACACAUAAUUCUUUUAAACAACUUAAAAA